AGAACGAACGCUGGCGGCAUGCCUAACACAUGCAAGUCGAACGAGACCUUCGGGUCUAGUGGCGCACGGGUGCGUAACGCGUGGGAAUCUGCCCUUGGGUUCGGGAUAACAGUUGAAACGACUGCUAAUACCGGAUGAUGUCUUCGGACCAAAGAUUUAUCGCCCAGGGAUGAGCCCGCGUCGGAUUAGCUAGUUGGUGGGGUAAAAGCCUACCAAGGCGACGAUCCGUAGCUGGUCUGAGAGGAUGAUCAGCCACACGUGGGACUGAGACACGACCCAGACUCCGUACGGGAGC
rnacentral:rRNA from 1 species